CCAGAGAACUUAGCAGAGAUGCUUUGGUGCCUUCGGGAACUCUGAGACAGGUGCUGCAUGGCUGUCGUCAGCUCGUGUUGUGAAAUGUUGGGUUAAGUCCCGCAACGAGCGCAACCCUUAUCCUUUGUUGCCAGCGGCUCGGCCGGGAACUCAAAGGAGACUGCCGGUGAUAAACCGGAGGAAGGUGGGGAUGACGUCAAGUCAUCAUGGCCCUUACGGCCAGGGCUACACACGUGCUACAAUGGCGCAUACAAAGAGAAGCGACCUCGCGAGAGCAAGCGGACCUCACAAAGUGCGUCGUAGUCCGGAUUGGAGUCUGCAACUCGACUCCAUGAAGUCGGAAUCGCUAGUAAUCGUAGAUCAGAAUGCUACGGUGAAUACGUUCCCGGGCCUUAUACACACCGCCCGUCACACCAUGGGAGUGGGUUGCAAAAGAAGUAGGUAGCUUAACCUUCGGGAGGGCGCUUACCACUUUGUGAUUCAUGACUGGGGUGAAGUCGUAACAAGGUAAGCGUAGCGAG
rnacentral:rRNA from 1 species